AAUGAACGUUGGCGGCGUGGAUUAGGCAUGCAAGUCGAGCGAGAACCCAGCAAUGGGGGACAGCGGCGCAAGGGACAGUAAUGUGUAGAUCAUCCGCCCUCAGGCCCGGGAUAGCUGCGGGAAACUGCAGGUAAUACCGGAUAACAUCUCCGGAUCAAAGGUGUGAUUCCGCCUGAGGAUGAGUCUACAUCCUAUUAGCUAGUUGGCAGGGUAACGGCCUACCAAGGCGAUGAUGGGUAGCGGGUGUGAGAGCACGACCCGCGUCAUCGGGACUGAGACACUGCCCAGACACCUACGGGUGGCUGCAGUCGAGAAUCUUCGGCAAUGGGCGCAAGCCUGACCGAGCGACGCCGCGUGCGGGAUGAAGGCCUUCGGGUUGUAAACCGCUGUCAGAGGGGAUGAAAUACAGGUGGGUUCUCCCAUCUGUUUGACAUAGCCUCAGAGGAAGGACGGGCUAAGUUCGUGCCAGCCGCCGCAGUAAGAC
rnacentral:rRNA from 1 species